CUCGAGCCUAGACUUGAUCUUCUGUCACGUCUCUGGAGAUCGACAAGGAUUUGGAUGCGAGUAUAAGUAGAACAUGGGUGGCUGCAGUAUGGUGGGAGAUUUUUGGAUAAACUUGAGG